UGAUGGAGCCCCAUAACCACUGGAAAAUGGUCUGAGUUGCCACCCACCGUCCUAACCCUAGUCUUAACUCCAUCGUACAUGUCCUUGGUUACUCUGAUGUAGGCUUCUGGCACGCUCUUCGCCUCCAAGCACCUCCAUAGCACCUCCCUUGGGACUUUGUCAUACGCUUUCUCCAAGUCGAUAAGCACCAUGUGCAGGUCCUUCUUCUUAUCCCC
rnacentral:lncRNA from 1 species